AGUACGCAACACUUUCCAUUCGGAAACUCCAAAGGCACAAAGAGUCCAUGUUUCGUGCCCAUUGGAGACUGCUGGUCUAAUCAGCGUUUUGUAGAUUGUUAACUUCGUGUUACGGCGAACUUUGUUCGAUCAUAGAGUUCUGCGGAGUCCAAAGUUAGCUCGAUUUCCUGCCACAAUGCGCCUCUGAAUUUCUCUGCUAAUGUCAUUGUCGUCGGUCACCAGUGAGCCCAAGUACAUGAAUUCUUCAACCGCCUCGAUUUCAUCACCGUCGAUAUAAAUUCUGGGUGGCAGGCGCGGUAAAUCCUCCCUAGAACACUUUGCCAUCAUAUACUUUGUCUUCGAUACAUUAAUGACUAAUCCGAAUCGCCAAAAAGAACAGUGGGUUCAGUAAAAAACAAGAUGCGGUUUCACGAUACAUCGUGUACAGAAGGCGCUAGUGAUAAACUUCAAAACGAAAGAAAGACGAUGGGCACGCCUUAGAAGAGAAGUGCUUAGCUACAUGAACUUCAAACAAUCAUCGAAAGCGUGGUCGAUGGAAGUCUCACCAGUGUAUAAUAAAAUGUUAAACGAUUUUUAGAGCGAAUAUUAAGGACUGUAUCGGAAAUUAACUAAAAACGUUCAUAACUGUCUAAAAAAUAAUCUAUUCGAAAUAAACAUAACUUUAUUUUUGGAGAUUUUAUUCAGAUUAUUAUUUUAUGUUCUGUACUCAUUGAGCCAUAUUUUCAAUAAUUCUAAACAUUUUCCAAAUUUCUUCAAUCUGUUCUAAACUUAAAUAUAUUGUGAAGAUUUCAUAGAAGAACCGGAAUAAAACGACCAACCGUGCUUCGAGAUAGAGCAUUUUGAAACAGUCCUUUAGUUAUGAAUCUCUGUGGUUCGUGCUUUUGUUGACAGAAACUUUCUUCAAAUAUAAUCGAGCAAUCCUGUAUUAACAUAUAACUGUUUCCCGAUUGAUGUGUUCUACUCGGUAAAACAUCUGUUUCGUAUUUCCG